CCUUUUUGGAUCUUGAGAGGUGCAGUAACAUUGCUGGCAAUGGAGGCCUCGCUGAGCCAUCGGAUUUCAUUAAAAAUAUCUUAAUUUGUGUUCUGAAGAUGAACGAAGGUCUUACGGGUGUGGAACAACAUGAGGGUGGUUUCCGUGCACUGCCAUUUUAAAGCUUAGGAGCAUCAGGGUGAUUAUUAAUAACUCCAGUUGUAUUCGUCUGAAAGAAGAAAGUCAUAUACACCUAGGAUGGCUUGAGGUGUGCUGGUAUUAAGGCAGUUUGGAUUCCAGAUGUUGUUGAUGGAAUUCUCCUUGAUCGCUGGCCUCCGAACGUCCGCCUCCCCGAAGCCUCGUGACUGGACCCAGAGUGCCAAAACAUUAUCCAUCUCCAGACUCUUAUUCCAAACAGCAAACACAUUCGGCUGUCUUCACUAAAAUGGAUACCAGCACAGUGAAUUGAGUGUCAUCUCUCACUUGUUCCUCAAUCAGUAUCUGGAAGUGUAAUUAUUCCCAAAGACGCACACGCUCGCAUUAUAACAGAGAUAUGUUUCCUUGCGAACAGUGCCAAAAGGGUUUGCAGAAUUAUAAUCAUUCCUGGUUUCACUUAAUCCUUGGACCUAGCUUGCUUUUUCCGUCCCAUUUAUAUGGCCAAGUGUUUCCGAGUGCCAGCAAAAGGGAGGAGAAAGAAGUAUGGAUCAAAAUGACAAGAAAAAAAGGCAGUUCUAUGCAAAAGAAAUAAGCUAAUGUGGGGGCAUCAAAAUUUAUGUGUGAAAGUGUAGGAUGUUUGUCUUAUUCUGUGGUCAUAAAUUGAGGAGCAAAAUGAGAUGCGCUAAUGUGAUGCUUCUUACUUACAGGGAGGUAAAGAGCAGUUUAGAAAAUAUGGCUAAGGAAGGCAAGAAGUCUUGGACUCGGAUGCAGGUUAAGAGGAGCAGCUGGAGAUUAGGACACAGAUGCAUUUCCUUUUACCUCGCUGUUGUGCAAGAGAAUGAGUGGGCUAAACAAACAUGCUAAAGGGGAUAAUUCACCCAAAAAUAAAAAUUAUGUAAUCAUUUAUGCACCCUAAUGUUGAUUCAAAUGUGUUUAGCUUUCUUUUUUCUACAGAAUGUUUUGGUGACCAUUGACUACCAUUGUAAGGAAAUAAAAACACUGGGAUAUAUUUAAAAAUAUCUUCUUUUGUGUUUGACAGAGGAAAUAAAGUCAUACAGGUUUAGAAAAACAUGAGUGUGUUUAAGUGAUUACAGAAUUUUCAUUUUUGGGUGAUCUAUUCAGCUAUGACUAUGACAGUUUUAAAAUGUUUGGUCGACAUAAACUGUAUCCCAAUUCAGAGGCUGCAUCCUUCGAAGGCUGACUGCGUCAGCGGCGCAAUAUAGGCUGUCACAAUUCGAAGGCUCUUUCAAAUGUGCCCUCCAAAUGCGUCCUUCGUUUCCCGUGCAGUGAAGGAUACAGCAGACGGAUCCUUCGUGGCCUUGCCUAUCCCAGAAUUCAUUGUGCGCCAGUGACGACAGGUUUUUUUGUGAGAGAAAUUGCCGAAUUAAACCUUUAAAAGGAAGGAUUGGGUUUCAACUUACUCAAAUAUUUAAUGAUACAAAUGUAAAAAAAAACUUUAAAUUGGUUCAAAUGUUGACUUAUAUUGUACUAAGAUGUGAUUAUAUGUGACCCGUGCUGGCAAAUUAAAAAAAAUUAGUUAUUAUAUAACAAUAAUGUAAUUCUCUGUUAAAAACCUUCAAAAUGAUGUAUGAUUUGUUGGAAUCUGACAAAAAAUGACACCUGUUUUAAGUCGAUCGAAUCAGCAAAGUCAAUUUUGAGAAAAAUCUAGUUAGUUUUCAAAACAAAAUCAAGUUGCAACCAUACCUUAAAAUCCCUGGUUAUACCACCACAUUUGGCACAACCCAAAUCAAAACCCAUAUUUAUAGGAAAAAUAUAUGUAUUCAACUUUUUUCCCCCCAUAAUUCCACAAUUGUUUGAUUAACAUUAUUGAAACAGACAGCCAAUAUAUUGAGAUCUACUGUAGCCUACCACACGGAUAUAAUAUAAUGUUACACAUCAGAUGUUUUUCCCCAACAGUUAACCAAACGUCCACUUAAGACAUUACAGAUAAUGUUUGCAUGAAUACUCGCCAAGACAGAUUUUUGAAAUACUGUAAUUCUGUGUAUGUGUAUGGUGUCGGGAUCGCGCGCUCUUUGUGCUCGCGCUUCGGAUCUGUCAGUCAGCGCUGGUAAGAUCGUUUGUUUACAUCAGCAUGAGUUUGAAAAUCACAUUUCAUUGGUUAAUACUCACACCAUCGAGAAUGCGCUAUGAAUAUUCACAAAGUUGGAAUGCUGUGCUUUACAACGAUACCAAACUUGUGCUGAGGGAAGCGCCAGUCGCCCAGAAGCGGGCAGAGAAAAACGCCAUUUUUCAUGGUCAAGUGAAAGGUAGCCUACUCCUCAGUAACGUACAAAUAAAGAUAAUUUUUAGAUGUUUAAUUACUAUUUGCCGCAUUGGGAUCGCUAGAUGAGGGCUUAAUGAACUCAAAUGAAUUUUUGGAAACCUCAAUUUUGACAAAAAUUAACAUUUUCACUUGUUUUGCCUGUAGCUCGAAAUUAGCCCGUGCGCAUUCCGACUCAUUUGCCAGCACAGGUCACAUAUAUAGUUUAUACUCUUAAUUAUAUACAGAAAUUGACCAUGGUGAACCUAUUUAGACAGUUUGUGAACGAUUAUUGUUUUGUUUUCGGACAGUUUAAUAUAACUACAGUAAAGUAAAGUACUGUUAUUGCCACUCGUCAACGGCAGCUGUCACAGUUGCUAGGCAACAAGAACAAUCCUCUGUAGGCUAGACCGUCGCAUUUAGCAACACUCGUUCCAACCUUCGCGGCUUUUGAAGGAUGCAGCCUCUGAAUUGACCCUUCGCAAAGACCCGUCCCCCCUUAGUUACUGUUGCUUUGACCGACAAGCCAUGGGCUGUCAUGCCACACAGACUGAAACAUAAAUCGCGGAGCAAAGAGAACACUGACAACACGUCGACAGACAAGACAGAGCAGGUUACUUAUAAUAUCCUACUUCUACUAAGUCCCAGCUUUCAAAUUGUGUAAUUGUUUAUGAAAUUCGAACAAUAAAAACCGUUUUGUGUGCCGUGACAGAUUGCUCUAGCUCCUUGGCUCAAGCGGCUCGUGAACCGAUCAUCUCUUCCUACAAAUUCAUUUAUAGCAUCAAAUAAACAUGAAUGAACAUAAGAAGGAAUGUUGUUUCAAACGCGGAAAGACAUCAGUACACACCAUUUUUCAAGUUCAAGUCCACCGAGGUUAAUCUUCUAAGGCCCUGUCCCAAAUGGCACACUUCAUGUGCACUUUCGGUCUUGUGGACUCGUGAGCGCCCCCUUUGCGGCUGCUAUGCGCCCUCGAUGCACACUUCUGCUGAGCCCGCAAGACUGUGGUCCUGUCCCAAAUGGCACCCUAAACCCUCACGGUCUUCCUCUGAGACCGUGAGAGUUUAGGGUGCCAUUUGGGAUAGGGCCUAACUCCUGACUGAAAUGGCGGAUUCGGCGUUAUGAUUGGUUAGAUUGCCUGUCAAUCAAACUCCCUGCGGAGGGUCGGGACGCAGCUAUAGAAAGUCAAAAAAAGGAAAAUCUGACAGCAAGGAAAACUUACAAAAUAUUUUAUUUUUGACUUAAACAUAAAAAAGGUUUGAAACAAGCACAAAUUAUUUUUAGAUAAUGAUCAUCAUCAUUUAAAUAUUAUUAUCAUUAUUGUUUUUUAGAAUACAACUUUAAAAUUCCAAUUUUAAAAAAGCACCACAAGUUAUCAAUAAUUGUAAACACAAGCAGUGAAAAUGUCAUUUUCAUAUUUUAAAAUUUAUUUCAUUUCAAAAAAUACAAACCCACCCAUUCACUUUUCCCCCAAAUUAAGGCCACUUCAUAAGACAUACAUUAUUGCCUGUCCAGCAGGACAUUUUUAAUGACAAUUGUUAAAAUCAAAAAAACACAUUCUUGACAUGGAGAACAAUAACAAUAGUAAUAAUUAUAAUGAUAACGACAUCAUCAUUAUCAAUAAUGGUAAUUAUUUAAAAUACAGUACAAUAUAAAGCCAUACUACUGAAGGACACAGACAGACAGCACAGCUUUGCAGGCAUUGUUAGUGGGAUAAGUAUCAAUUAUCUUUGGAAUGGCACAUGACUUUGGAUUCUUAACCUGAGUUGGGAGUUACAUGGGGUGGGAAACAGACCCUGUGUUGGUUUAGUUAAAAGAAUUACCUUUCAUGAGCCAAUGCAGAUAAUGUUUCAUGAUAUCUGGUGCAUAUGGAAGCACUUUAAAGUACUAUGGUGGUCCCAUGGUUCAUGCACUAUGGUGUUUAUAUGGUACUACAGCACUUUUUGACUGACUUUUCUAGUUCAUGCAUCCUGGAAGAAAUGUAAAAAAAAUUAUUUAACAGAAAUUACAUCAA